AUUGAACGCUGGCGGCAUGCCUAACACAUGCAAGUCGAGCGGAUGAAGGGAGCUUUCUCCUGGAUUCAGCGGCGGACGGGUGAGUAAUUCCUAGGAAUCUGCCUGGUAGUGGGGGAUAACGUCCGUAAACGGGCGCUAAUACCGCAUACGUCCUGAGUGAGAAAGUGGGGGAUCUUCGGACCUCACGCUAUCAGAUGAGCCUAGGUCGGAUUAGCUAGUUGGUGGGGUAAAGGCCUACCAAGGCGACGAUCCGUAACUGGUCUGAGAGGAUGAUCAGUCACACUGGAACUGAGACACGGUCCAGACUCCUACGGGAGGCAGCAGUGGGGAAUAUUGGACAAUGGGCGAAAGCCUGAUCCAGCCAUGCCGCGUGUGUGAAGAAGGUCUUCGGAUUGUAAAGCACUUUAAGUUGGGAGGAAGGGCAGUAAGUUAAUACCUUGCUGUUUUGACGUUACCAAAAGAAUAAGCACCGGCUAACUUCGUG
rnacentral:rRNA from 1 species